rnacentral:rRNA from 1 species
CCUACGGGAGGCAGCAGUGGGGAAUAUUGGACAAUGGGCGCAAGCCUGAUCCAGCAAUGCCGCGUGAGUGAUGGAGGCCUUAGGGUCGUAAAGCUCUUUUACCAGGGAUGAUAAUGACAGUACCUGGAGAAUAAGCUCCGGCUAACUCCGUGCCAGCAGCCGCGGUAAUACGGAGGGAGCUAGCGUUGUUCGGAAUUACUGGGCGUAAAGCGUACGUAGGCGGUUAUUCAAGUCAGAGGUGAAAGCCCGGGGCUCAACCCCGGAACGGCCUUUGAAACUAGGUAGCUAGAAUCUUGGAGAGGUCAGUGGAAUUCCGAGUGUAGAGGUGAAAUUCGUAGAUAUUCGGAAGAACACCAGUGGCGAAGGCGACUGACUGGACAAGUAUUGACGCUGAGGUACGAAAGCGUGGGGAGCAAACAGGAUUAGAUACCCUGGUAGUCCACGCCGUAAACGAUGAUAACUAGCUGUUCGGGCACUUGGUGCUUGAGUGGCGCAGCUAACGCAUUAAGUUAUCCGCCUGGGGAGUACGGUCGCAAGAUUAAAACUUAAAUGAAAUUGACGG